CACAUUUGCCCACAAAACAUUACACACACAGUGUGAGCAUGUACGGUAAUGUCCGUAAUUGUCCCAAAGGCGCAGAAGAGCUAUACCCACGAGGACUAUGAUGGCUCCAGACGGCUGGGUCGGAAAGCUCUCCACUUGGGGAUUGCCUCGUUUGUCAUCGGUGCUGUCAUCAUCACCGCGUACAUCAUUAUACACUUUACCACGCAUGGGGUGUGACCUCUUGAGGGGAAAGAGGAGAUGGAAGAGGCGAAAAGGUGAAACUGUUACGGCGAGAUGAGCACCGUGUGGUGGAAAGGAGCUCUGUUUGGCUUCUGUCAUCAGCGGCUUUGGAGGUUUUUAAAAGAUCUGGUGGACCUAAUUUUAAUGUACCAUACAUCCUGGCUGAAGCUAUUAUGUAAAUGAUAUUGCAAUUGUAUUUUCACAGGCUAUGUGAAUGUAAGGUAAAAGAGGAGCCUUUCCUGUACUACCAGUGAGCAGGGGUUUUUUUAACUAAAGGGCUAAAUUAUGAACCGCUAUCAGAUAACAUCUGCUUGAUAACAUAAACAGAAAACAUCUUAUUGUUUGAUAAUUCUUAACUUGUGUUUGCAAUCUUACUGUACAUGAUGUGAGGUGACAAAUAUAACAUUAAACCUUUUGUUCACAAAAAAUGGCCAAUUACACAAAAUGGAAACGACACAAUAUUCAUAUUUCCUGUCAUGCAGAAUAAAAACGAGCUUAGAAAUGCUGUUGGCAUAGCUUAUAACCUAUACCAAAAUUUAUAUUUCAAACAGGGACUCAACUCAUGUGAUCUCCUUACAAUCAAUAGUAUGAUUAUGAUCUGGCAACAAUAUUGCCACACUAUAGUAGGUUGAUUUCACAGUACUCAGUCCACUUUGCCUUUUGGCCUCAUUUCACCUUCUUUGACACCUGCUGCAAGCUGUUGACUACGUGUAUGAGUAGUUGUAAUCUGAGAGGUUACAUUAACGCUAUUACAGGGCUAAAAAUACAGCAUGCAAUUUUUACAGUUUAAUCACUGUGCUAAUUAAAAAGAAAAUAAACGUCUAAUCACCAGCUUAUAGUAGUGAAACUGCUGGCACAUUGCCGUGAACCCAGAAGUAUCUUAAUGAAGAGGUUUUCAUUGUGUUAACCUCUGAUUUUGGCAUUUUCCAUCGGCAGAACCUCAUAAAACAUGAGUGCCAUGCCUCUCGGCUGAUCAUAAACUGUGUACAGCACUGGAAGAAGGUCAUCUCGACUUGGUUUUCCCUUUUCCGAAUCCAUAUAAAUCCCCAAGAGAGAAAAGAAGGAACUACAUCUCUGAUUGUAAACCUUGGCUGGUGAAAAUGAAUCAUAGCUAAAAUCUUUUGAAUUAUUUUGAUUUUUGUGCUUUGGACCAAGUUUCCAAUGCUGCAACACUGGAAAGUAAUCUGUUUGCACAUAAAGCACUGAAAUUUUAUAGAGAAUAUCCCUGGAAAUACAAUAAGCUGCUGAUUUUUUUUCUCCAACACAGUCUAAAAUAAAAAUGACCACUGUGGAAACGUCUGCUAAUGUAAAUGCUUUUGUUUAAGAUUUUCUUUUUGAAUCUUAAAACUGUAACAUUGUGACCCACUGAAUUUUAUUUCAAAUAAAAUGUCAGGAUGUUUAAAUUUA